AUUGAACGCUGGCGGCAGGCCUAACACAUGCAAGUCGAGCGGUAACAGGGGAAGCUUGCUUCUCGCUGACGAGCGGCGGACGGGUGAGUAAUGUAUGGGGAUCUGCCCGAUAAAGGGGGAUAACCACUGGAAACGGUGGCUAAUACCGCAUAAUCUCUUAGGAGCAAAGCAGGGGAACUUCGGUCCUUGCGCUAUCGGAUGAACCCAUAUGGGAUUAGCUAGUAGGUGGGGUAAUGGCUCACCUAGGCGAC
rnacentral:rRNA from 1 species